GCCGAAGUGGCGAAAUCGGUAGACGCAGUUGAUUCAAAAUCAACCGCCGCAAGGUGUGCCGGUUCGAGUCCGGCCAUAUUAUUUCUGCG
rnacentral:tRNA from 1 species